UAAAUAACUGGUGAAGAAAGGGCCGGGCAAGACCGGUGCCAGCCGCCGCGGUAAUACCGGCGGCUCGAGUGGUGGCCACUAUUACUGGGCUUAAAGCGUUCGUAGCUGGUUUGUUAAGUCUCUGGGGAAAUCUUCCGGCUUAACCGGAAGGCGUCUCAGGGAUACUGGCAGACUAGGGACCGGGAGAGGUGAGGGGUACUCCAGGGGUAGGAGUGAAAUCCUGUAAUCCUUGGGGGACCACCUGUGGCGAAGGCGCCUCACCAGAACGGCUCCGACAGUGAGGGACGAAAGCUGGGGGAGCAAACCGGAUUAGAUACCCGGGUAGUCCCAGCUGUAAACGAUGCGCGUUAGGUGUAUCGAUGACCACGAGUCAUCGAGGUGCCGAAGAGAAAUCGUGAAACGUGCCGCCUGGGAAGUACGGUCGCAAGGCUGAAACUUAA
rnacentral:rRNA from 1 species